CCUACGGUAGGCAGCAGUGGGAAAUAUUGCACAAUGGGCGCAAGCCUGAUGCAGCCAUGCCGCGUGUGUGAAGAAGGCCUUCGGGUUGUAAAGCACUUUCAGCGGGGAGGAAGGCGGUGAGGUUAAUAACCUCAUCGAUUGACGUUACCCGCAGAAGAAGCACCGGCUAACUCCGUGCCAGCAGCCGCGGUAAUACGGAGGGUGCAAGCGUUAAUCGGAAUUACUGGGCGUAAAGCGCACGCAGGCGGUCUGUCAAGUCGGAUGUGAAAUCCCCGGGCUCAACCUGGGAACUGCAUUCGAAACUGGCAGGCUAGAGUCUUGUAGAGGGGGGUAGAAUUCCAGGUGUAGCGGUGAAAUGCGUAGAGAUCUGGAGGAAUACCGGUGGCGAAGGCGGCCCCCUGGACAAAGACUGACGCUCAGGUGCGAAAGCGUGGGGAGCAAACAGGAUUAGAUACCCGGGUAGUC
rnacentral:rRNA from 1 species